rnacentral:lncRNA from 1 species
AGACUUCAACUCUCUGCCUAUUAUUAGAAGUAAGGUUGGUCGUGCCAAUACUGGAGCCCAUACCGGUCAGCUGGCGGCACUAUUCGGUAUGCCCGCAUACCGUUCCGUGAAGGGCCCAUACCGACACAGCAGAAAGGGCGAGGAAACGGGAGCAGGAGAACGGGAGAGAGGAAGAGAGAGAGGGGGGGGAAGGGUAGGCCGCCAGAGGCCUUCAGAGGGCACAGAGGCUCCACCCUCCGGUUCGAAACAAGGGUCUAGAGGGCGGAGCCCCUGCUCUAGCCCUUCGGCGCCCCCCUCCAGCGGCCCUUCCUUCCCCUCCUCUCUUUUCCUCUUUUUCUUCUCCCUCCCCCCUAUCAAUUUAGCAUUCUAAAUGUUGGAACCAUCCCAAUCCGCCACCAGCACGGCCCAGAAAGCGCCAAACUGGGCAAUUCAGGACGGUCCCGCAUUCCUUGAUUAAAAGCUCUAAUUAGACCAAAAAAAAUGAUAAGCACCCAAGUUUCUGACUUGUCUAAUACAAAGUAUAGGAGUUGGAUGCGAGUGUCCAGAUAACAUAGCAAAUGAAGGAAGCUCAAACCCAAAGAGAGGACAAUGAGAUUCUCUGUGUUGACUACUGAAUCUAUCAUCCUGUUGGAUAAUACUCAUAGAUAGAUAUUCUAAUAUAAAGCAAGCCCUAUGUGUACAGAACUUGACCAUUUCUUUUGACCCACAGGCCACAACUUGGAUCUCUCUUUCUACUUGUGUUCCCUUUUGGGGAAUUUAUAACAUUAUGAACUUUUUCUAAGCCUUCAAAAGAAGAUUAAAGAAACACAAGAAAUAACUUUUUUAGAGAGUUAGCACUCAUAAUGGAAAAAGCUGUGUUGAGGAGCGCUAACAGGUGUGAGCAACUACUAUGAGUUACAUGUGCUUAAAACAAGGAUAAGCUUGUGGCCUUAUCUUUAUCAAUUUGCUAUUAUCAACGAAUAACUGUGGUUGGUCAAAAAGGAGCUUAAUCGCAUUGCUACCAAUCAUUGAGUUAGUAUCAAGAUGAUUAUUUACUCAGAAGUUGGUUCACAUUUCAUACUCCACUAUUGAUGUAACAUCAGCUAGCAUUCAAUGUGAACAAUAAAUGAUUCGAUGUCAUUACACAAAUAAAAGGAGUGCAAUAAAAUAUAGACUUGACAAAGUUAUUACAGUUGUUACCUUGAACAUGAUCACACUAGCCAAAAUGGUUAAGGAUGUAAACAUCACAUAGUAUAUGGGCGAUACAACUGCUGUGUUGAAUGUAUCAAGAGCCUGCAAAUAAAAAUGAGCUUAAAACAUGUUGGCAAGCAUUUAAAAAUCUACAUAAUACCUAAUAAAACUCUACAUAAUAUCGAUGAUUGUCAAGAACAAGAAAUUUAGUAGAGUAGCAUGACAUAGUUCAUAGCUAACAUGGGAAACAUUGUAUUUCCUAUUUCAGUUCCUUCACAGAUGUAACAAUAGUCUAAAGAAAAGGUGAAAGCUCACCACCAUUCCAUUGAGUAGAUGAAAGACUAUAAAAGGGAUCCCUAGCAGGCGACCCCUAAAAAUAAAAGGGAUCUAAGAGGCCUGCUAGGCAAGUUGGCCUAAACAUCUUCAUCAUGCAUAAAAAAAUAAUUAAAAGAAAAAUAAACAAAGUUUUAUUCUGGCCAUCCCAGUAUGGUAUUGGUACAAAGCCCCACACUAUGUGUCGGCAUGGGAUGGCCCAAAACCAUACCAGUCCAAUCAAAAACCAGUACCAAAACACAGGCAAGCAGACCUUAUAGGCUUUUAGUAUUAAGGUAAUUAAUGAAAAGGUGAGAAGAUACUUCACAUAAUUGUUAUUGGUUUGAUUUAAGCAUAUAGUCGCAACGUAUGAAGAAAGCUUGGUAACUACUAGAAUGAGCAAGAGAAGUAGAUUGAGAUCGGAGGCAUGUAUCAGAGGCUAAUAAAUAAUGAUGCAUUUAUGCUGUAGUAAGACCAAUCAAUGACUUUUCAGUAGAAGUAAUCCUGCAGCAGUGGUGGCCUUUAAUCCUUACUAACAUAGAUAUACUUAUUGUUAGCACUCAAAGGAAAAUGACAAGGUGAGCCAUUUGCAAUGUAAUGUCGACUGCUGAUAUGGGAAUUUAAUCAAACUAUAAAUUGGAUCAGCAGCAGAAACCUUCUGAGUCUCUAACUAUUUUGUACUCAAAUAGAUUAUAUAAAGUAGUAGAAUUUGGAAACCAUAGCACACACAAUUUGCAGAUGGCAUCAUAUUAAAUGAAAAAGUUAUAAUAUAGUUGGAUCUUAAAUAGAUAUCAUAGAUAAAACACAAAUUUUAAGUAAAAAUCAAGAUGAAAUAUGGCCCUAGUCAACAGGAUGCACAAAAUUAGCACAAACUUUGUGGUUCAUCGAACAAAAGUGACAAUGUAAAACAAUAUUAAAAAACAACAACGAAGAGUUUCAAAUAGAAAAAUUGAAGCUAUCUACUUCUCUACUCAAGGAGGUAUAACAUGAAAGAUCCAAGAAAUAUAACCAUGAUCUUGUAUGCCAUAAUGCACUCUGUUGUUCCUCCAAAUCAAAGUUUCCUUUCAUGUAAAAUUUAAUCUCUCAAAAAUCCUGUGAAAAUUUGACUCAGAGAUCAAAUAGAUAAGGUCCUUCCUAUAAGAUUUAUUAGAAUAAUUAAAAAUGGAAUUUACAUACAUAGUUUUGUUCAUUCUUUACUACUUUGUAAUACAAUCAAACAUUAGCAUUCCUAGGACCUGAAAGAGUGACUAUAAAAGAAAAUGAAACACAUUUAGUUUCAUCUGUACAUCUAUGACUACCAUUAUUUGUAGAUUAAAAAAUUCAUGUGCUUUCAAAAUAUAUAACAAGACAUCAUUGUGGGUAAAAUUCAUCACUUACAAACUCAGCUAUACUUUUGUUGAUGACAGAAAGAAUAGCCAUACCUUGUUCAGAUAGUUCAUUUGAGUAAUCACACAUGUAGCUACAACUAUUGUGAAAGCCCAAGUUUGGGGAUAAAUUAACUGAUUCAUUCCCGAAAAUGUUAACUUCAGAGCUAUUCCAAGAGCUUUCACACUCAUGACCUGCCCAAGUAGAAAAUUGAGGAAAAGAAAAUAUUAUGGUGACAUCUGAAACUCAUCUUCAAAAACAUGAAGCCAAGGUAACUGAGAUGAGCUCUUUACACAAGAACCUACCGAUAGAGAACCUACGAGAGAGCAAACACCGAUGUACACCAUAAUGUGUGUCUGUCCAUACUGGGGGAUAAAAUGGAAUAUAAGUAUAAAAACAGCGGCAAUUACAACUGCCGCAUAGAACAGAAAAGCUGCCAAAAACAAUAAUGAUGCCUUAGCAAUUAGAAUUACUCAUUAUAUUCAUUGACGAAAAGAAUGAAUAACUUAAGGCUGUGUUAGUUACAACUGCAUUAAGAUCAAUUAAAUGCAUGCAAAGUGAGAUGAUUAUUCCCUCAUAAAAGAGGAAAACAAACAAAACCUGGUUCAGUAGCCAGAUCCCAUACUUCCUUCACAGAUUCAAUCUCACGCUCUUGAGGGGCAUGGAGAACAAUUGUAGUUGACCCCACAACACAAAGAACACAACCAAGAAUGCCAAAUAUAUGCAGCCUCUCCCGUAAAAUGAUAUGUGCGAGAGCAGCACUGUACAACAAAUAGUUGGCGAUAGUACAUACACAUUAGAAAAUGCACAGUAAAAACAUACUAGCUAAUGCAAAGGUAAUAUGAUGGUGAGUAGGGGACAUGCCUGAUAAUUAUGCUAAGUGCACCAAGAGGAGUCACCAAAAUAGCUGGAGCAAAUGCAUAAGCUGCAAAAUUAGCAACUUCCCCAACAAUCACUGUUGCAUUAGAACCAACUUGUUAGUAUACAUUCCUCUGAGAGAGAGGGAGGGGUGAAGCCAUGAAGGAGAGUUAAAAAAACCCCAUUAUAAUCAAUUUAACAAAGAAAUGUGGAGGUUUUACAGCACACAAAUGAUUGAACUUGAAAAAAAAAGCCCUUAGACAAAAUUCACACCAAUGGCAUGACAUGAUAGAAGUGCAUUACUGUAAAGAGCCAAAUUCAACAAAACAAAAAAGCCAAAUCCAUGAUAGUCAGGAGACUCAGGACAAAUCUUGAUGGUUAUGGUUACAAUAUCACUGUAAAAAUCAGGCUAGGUGAUAACUUCAGAACCAAAUGUGUGACAAGUGCAUAUUUUACAAAUUAUACCAUGAUAUUGAAUCAUAAGAGAGAUUUCAAGAAAUGCCAGAUUUAUUCACUCCAAUUUUAGCUGGAUCUGGUGUAUCACAAGAGAAUUCAAAUUACAAAAUGAUUCACCUUGUGAUAAGAAGAAUUUAAAUAUGAUUUCUUCAAAUAAGCAUUGAACACACUUCAGUAGGACAAGACCAAUUCAAUACAAAGAGUUAACUGCAAGCCUAGAAGCCCACUUUAAAAAUUGAGAACACAUUUCUUUUACAAAAAAGAGAAAGACACCACAUUGGAUUCAAAGGACUGAGCACUCACUUGUUAUCAUUCCCACCCACCAAAGUGGUUCGUACAAGUAAGCAUAGCCUCCAGCUCCUGGUGUGAGGUAAUUGCAAGUUAAAAUGUUUCGAAGAAAAACACCACCCAAAAAAAUCAAUCCAUAAGGAAGCUGAAAUGGAAGAAAAGUAAAGCAUACAGCAAAACCAAUAACCCCUAGAGCCAUAAUCAACCUUAUUACAAUCUUCUAAGGUGGAAUGCAUUAAUUUUCUCUACUUUUCAAAUCACUGUUGCAGCAUUUAAAAAAGAGCAGAAAAUGUUUCAGUUAAUGUGCAGUGCUUUUCUUGAUGAUAUAAGUAUUAUUCAGCUUGCUGCUUUAUCUGAAAGGUCAAUGGACUCAAUAGAAGUUCACAUUUUCAAACAGGAAGCCAUAUUCAAGUAGCUUAGACUUGCUUUGCUUGGGUGUAUGGAUUGGGAACUGCAAGCGACGACGGCGACCAAACAGCAAGCGUGCAGGCAAAAUAUGGUAGAAAUGACAAAAUUUGGAGUUUGGGUGCUGCAUCCAGUUGAGACCCUACAACAAACAGCUAGCAAGCAAGCAUAAUCUGCACUGCACUGAGGUUGCAGGGCAGAUUGAUGGUGGAAGACAAAGUGAGCUAGCAAUGUGGCAUUACUUACGAGCAUUGUAACCUGGGAGCUAGAUAAGGUAGCCCAUCUUGAGGAUCAGUUCAGGCUAUCCGCCCAGCCAUAUUGUGAGGAAUUCUUCAUGGUGAGUGGAGCACAAUUGUUUAGAUGCUGAGUGAGGAAUUCAACCGAAUGGAUGAAGGGCACAUGCUCAAAUAUUAUAUUGACGAAAGAAUGAUACUGGGACAGACAAAUCAAGCUUCUCACAAAGAUCGAAUGGACGCUCUACGUUGGAGACAAACAGCAAGUCCAAUGCUGGCAUGUUUAGGCUUGGAUUGAGACCCUUACCAAGCCAAAAUGGUACUAAGGCUUUGAGCCAACAGAAUGAGCAGCUCUGUCGCCAGUCCAAGAGCUCUAGCAUUAAGCUGAAUGCAAGCAGGAUUUAGGUUAGACCAAGGGCUUGAGACAGCCCCAAGGGCUGAUUGCAGCAGUGAGCACAAGAAGCAAGAAAGUUGGUACAUAGAUUCUGGUUCAAUUAAGCAUGACCAAGCCAGAUUGGUUCUGAUACCAUGUCAUAAAUCAACAAUGUCCAGAACAUCUUCUUCAUUCCAUUAGAGCAUACAACAAGAGUUUGAGUACAAGGUUACACUAAAGAUGUGGUAAAGUACUAAAUAAACAUACCUACAUAAGUAAUAAACACAUCUAUGGACAGAACUUCAUUUGUAACUGAUCAUGUUCACUAUAAUUUGUUUCUCAGUGGUAAUAUUAUAUUAAAUUAUAAAUUUACCUUUUUCCUAGAAAUGUCCAUAUCAAACUCUAUGUUGAAGUAAGUAGUAACAACUAAAUAGAAUUAUACACAAGCAACUUCAUAUAAAACUGCAUGUUGAUAAUCUUCAGAAUGAAAAUUUGCAUCCAAAAACAAAGUUGACAAACAGGAGACAACAACAAGGUAUGACCAAUACUCAACUCGACUAAGCCUUAAACACAAACUAAUUGAGGUCUGUUACAUUAAUCCUUUUCAUCCAUUCCGCUCAAUUUGGGCCAUAUAUUCUGAAAGAUGUGAAAUAUCAAGUCCUUCCUUACUACUACAUUCUAUUUGAUUUUUAAUCUAUAUCUACCUCUCUUCAUUGAUCCUAUAUGUAUCAAAUCACUCCUUCAUACUGGUGCAUCUCUAUCCCUCGACCUAUGUUAUAUAUGUCCGAACUAUCUAAGUUAUUCUUCUCUAAUUUAUCCUCAACUAGUGCUACUUGCGUCUUUUUACAAAUAUCAUCAUUAUUUAUUUAUCUUUUCAUGUAUUACCAUACAUCUAUCUCAAUAUUCUCUCUAGCCACACUCGUCCUGUGCACAUGUUGUUCUCUAUUUGCCCAAUAUUCUACUAUAAAGCACAGCUAGUCGUAUAGCUAUCCUACAGAAGAAAAAAAAUCAACUUGGUGGGUAUCCUAUGAUCGCAUAAUAUCCUAAAUGUACUUCUCCAUUUCAUCUGACAUACUUUAAUCUUAUGGAUAACAUUCUCUUCAAUCUUCCUUUCUUUAUGAAUAAUUGAAUUCUAGAUAUCGAAAAUGAUCACUCUUAGAAACUUUAUGGUUAGCAAUUUUCCCUCCACCUUUACCUUUAUUUUUUAUUUUACUAAAACUCAUUUCAUGUAUUCCAUCUUGGUCCGACUUAAUAUAAAAUCCUUGGAUUCUAAUGCACUCCUCCAUAAUUCCAACUUACAAUUAACUCGAUUUUAGUUUCAACCACUAAAAUUAUAUCAUCAAAAAUAGCAAGCACCAAGAAAUAUCAUCUUGAAUGUACCUAGUAAGCUCACUCACAACAAGCGCAAAAAGGUAAGGACUUACCAGAAACAAGGUAUGAUCAAUGAAGUGACAAAAACGAACAAGCCAUUCUUCAGCAUUAUUCCUCUCUUUCAUGACUCAACUCUUUUUCAACUAAAACAAAUAUGAUCUCAUGCUUAAGUAAGUUUAUAAAGGUCUACUAAAUCCAACCCCUCCCACUCAAAUGAAACCCACCCCGACACCACCCCAACCGCCCUGUCUUUAAAUGGAAAAAGGAACUUUCAAAGUGGACUUGAGGGAAACUCAUAGAAUGAAAAAUGAAAUAAGCAAUCCACUAAAAACACCAAGAAGGAUGACAUGCAUACUCUUCAAAAAUUUUAAGAAAAUCAAGUUUAUUGUUUAAAAAAGGGAUCCAUAGAUAUUAAUGAUAUAUUUGCCUACAUGGCACUUAGGUAGGUCAAAUGCCUUGCCUCGGCCCAACUGCCCAUUUAGGCUUAAGGAAGUCAGUUUUUGACUAUCAGGGUAGUCGGGUUUUGACUAUCUUUUGGGACGGAACAUGCCUCGCACAAGGCAAAUCAAGAUUGGGCUUGUCAACUAUAAAAUAAUGACAGCCAUCAUCUGCCAUUGUGCCCAAAAACCUAAAUUGACAAAUGUUGGUAACUUUUGAAUGGUAUGUGUAGACACAACUUUGUAUGAAAUACCCAUCAUUUGAAUAAGUUGCUUGCAGCAUUAACUUGAAUUAUUGAGCUUUUCUUUAGAUGGCAAUUUUAUAUUUUCAUAACAAGUUGCAGGGAAAUUUUGUGCUCUACUAGUUAACAUGUUAUGCUACAGCUCUUAAUCCCCCGAUAAAUGUAAAAAUUGUUCAUGUAAUGUGCUCUUUAUUUCCUUUAACAUUUUGAUUUGUUUAUAGUUUCAUGGUUGUUUCCACAUACGUAUAACUUUAGUUACUUUUCCUUAGCAUUUACCAAAAAAUGAUCCAACCAAAUGCUUGCACUCUACUUAAGAACUGUGCACUCCUUUGGCAAUGUCCAUAGUAUAACAACCUAUUCAUAUAUUGCUCCAAAUGCCCAAAUAUAAUAAACUGAUCAGAGUUAGAAGCAACCCAAGUUUCUUAUGACAAAUGGGAGCUGGUGUCACUUUCCUAGAAGAAUCAUCUCGAAAGCAAGGGUAGCAAUAAAAGACAUCUAAAAUGGACAAGAAUGAUUCAUGAUCCAAAUGUCUAUGUAAUCCAAGUCUUCUCAUCUGAUAAUGAGAAGUAUACAUGUAUAAUUUUGUUCCAGCUAAUAAAGUAAAUUUACUGUUAUCUUAUACCAUCUUUCUAUAAUGAAGGCAAAAGAAGAGAGAAUCUAUAUUUAAAUUUUAAAAAACUUAAAAUUUUAGAAAAAUAGAAAUCAAGAUUCUCAAACUACCUACUUCAAUCCCAAUGUUUCAUUUUUCAACCUAAGUCCUAGUAACAGCUCCCUCUCUCUCUUUCCCCUCCCUCAUCCUUCACCCAUGUUUUGGGUGGGUUCAUUUUUUUAAUCGGAGUAACUAAGGUACCAUUUGACAUAGGAAACAAUUGAUUUUAUAUUGUUCACUAUUCAAAGUGGUAAAAGGAAUUCUAGUAGGAAUGCUUUAAAGAUGGAUUCAGAACUGUAACUUACCAGACCCUGUACCUGAACAUCCCAAAGGAGCUAGGGCAUGCUUCUUUUUUUGCGGAUACAGCGAUAAAUGUUUACAUGUCUCGAUGUGUCUUGGGAAGCUUAAUUUAACCCCUAAAACUUCAUAUUUUUUGUUUUCUCUGUUUUAGUCAUUAUUGGGGCCUAAAAGUAGUUUGGAUCCACAACAUGUCAGCCAAAACACUUAGGCAUGUCCGGAAAUUUUUGGUUACUUUAUGGUGCAAAAGAACUUGAACUUAAUAGAAUCCGACAAAAGAUAGAAAAUUGGUGUAUACAAAAUUUGCCAUACCGGUGUAUAUUGUCUUGUAACGGACGUAACAUAUCGUACCAGUGCCAGACCGAUACGCAAAAUGAGAGGCAUACCAAACCAACCUCUAUAUCAAACAAACUGAUGCCAUACCCAAUGCCAAAAUUGCAAACCUUUGAAUGUACAUAGCUUAGUAUUUAAUAACAUAAAAUAUAUAUGGUAGGGAAAUGCAAUGCCUAUUAAUGUUUUAAAUCCUCACAAGACAAGAAGGCCCAUUCCUAUGAGAAAACUAGACUAGGAUAGGGGCGGGACUCUGAAACCCAUCCAUGAGGGAAAAAGAAGAAGGAGGAAAGAAAGAAAAAAAAAGAAGAAGAAAAAGGGAAAAAGAAAGAAAGAAGAAGAAAAUAUAAAAGAAAGGAAGGAUGGGAGAAGAAAAGGAAAGGAAGGAAAAAAAUGCAGAAAAAGAAUGAAAGAAGAAGAAAAAUGAGAGCACGUAAGGAAGGAAGGGAGAAGAAAAAGAAAUAAAGGUAGGAAGGAAAGAAGGAAGAAGAAAAGAAACGAGAAGGAAAGGAAGGACGAAGAAGAAAAGAAACGAAGAAAGAAAGAAAAUAAGGAAGAAAGGAAAGAAAGAAUAGAAGAAAAGAAGAAAGGGAGAGAAACGGGGGGAUACCUAAUAGGAUGCUCGAUCGGGACGGCCACCAAGAUGGGGUAGUGGGAUAUCCUGUUCCAUGGAGAACCUCAUUCCAAAAGAUAUAAGAUCUUGAUGCAUAUGAUAUAAUAUUACCUUGCUUCAUGAACCUCUAUUGUAUCUUCUUUUCUUAUCUUUUCUCUCAGUAAAGAUUCCAAUCUUCCACCUAGCACAUUCUGUUCUUAUUAUUAUGUCCUUUCUCAUAAACCUUUCAACUGAUCACUUAGCACCGCUACAGAAAUGCAGUACUAUAAAAGUCGGACUGCUAGUCCAUUGAUUAAAUAAUAAUUAAAGAUAAAUUCUACAAGUUCUUCCCAUUAUCAGAUAUCUGGGAAGGAAAAAAAAAAGAACCCUUCUGUAGUUAAUGAAAACCAACUUUUCAAUUGAGACAUCUUUUGAAUUGUGAUCUCCAUGAAACUAGUUUCCUUAUCCUUCCACUAGCAAAAAUGAAAUUCGCAUCUGUAUAUUAUGUAUCCUCCCAUGUAACCAAAAGAAUGAAUUUUGCGUACACAUACAUCUCAUUUAGAUUUUCAACAUGCUAGGCAUUCAAACGUUGCUCAAAUUCAUCAUUUACUGCUGAAUACAUCUAAGUGUCAACUCUCCACUACCAAAUGAAUAAUUUCAUACAAAACAAUGCAGCAAAGCCCACAUAAAACCCUUAACAUCAGUACCAUACCAGACAGAAAACACUCUUAUCCUACUAAAUUGCAAGAUAGAAUGUAGUAUUACAGCUCAGAUCACCAAAUCCCGCAGAAAGACCACCAAAGAAGAUAGAAGAUAGAACCAUUAUCACAUAGAGAUCUACCAAAAACUAUAUCAUUAAGAAUAGACCGUUCAAAUGAGCAAAAUCGGUCAACAUUACCACCAAACGAACGCCCCCCGCGGGAUUUUGGGGGGGCGGGGGGGCGGGCACAAGAAAAAGAAGGAAAAAAAAACACAUGGGGAUCUACCAGUUACCUGCCCUAACCCCAGAAGCGCCCGCCUUCUUCAAACCCUUCUUCUUGACGAUGAAGCUGGCGCCGAUGAAGAAGCUCGAGGAGAGAGCGAGGAUGAGGCCCUUGAUGUUGUCGGCGGACAUCCCGGUGUAGGACUCCACCCAGCUCCUCCCCGACGCCGCCUCCGGCGCCAUCGCGGAGAAACCCUCUCAAUCUGUCCGCUACCGCGAGAUCCCCGCCGCCCGUCCCGCGGUGUCGGCCGCGGCGGCGGCGGCGUCUCGUCGGCGGGAAGGAGAAGCACCCCCGCCACUAGAUCCCCGGCCGUCGGGGGCGAAUAGACGGCAGAGGGGCGGAUCGGCGGUCCCGGCGGGUCGUCGCCGCUUCUGUCGCCGUCGGUCGCUUUGGUGUUUUCGGAGAUCUAGCGGCAGUGGGCGGAGGCCUCGCAGAGAGAAGACGCAUGCGGAGGCAACCGUGAAAAUAAAAAUAGAAGGUUCCCGGGGGGACCAAAUACGUUUCUUGCUUUAACAUCAUGGGGCCCAACAACACCAAAAAGAACUGGCUGCUACGUGUCCAUAUACCGUUGGUGGAGUUUGAGGGUUAGAUACGAAAUACACGCGUGAAGUCGUAUGCGAAUGACCAAUUGUCGGAUCAUACGGCGGUUGGAGGUUAGAACCAGAGAUGUGAAACAAGCACGACGAGUAACCAAAAGAUCACCGUAAUCCAAAAAUAAAAAGUAAAAAUUAAAAAAUAAAAAAUAAAAAAAUCCGGCACUAGAUGAAGUGUAAACAUUUACUUAAUUAUUAACUUUUUAUUAAAUUUACAAGAUUGGCUAUGAUUAUCGAGAAGAGAGUAUUUACUUUUUUUUAAAUAAAAAAUCAACAGCGGAGAAUCCAAAAUAAAAAUUUAUGAUUCAUACUACUAAAUAUUAUAUAUUUUACUAAUCUCUAAUCUAUACAUUAUUUGCAUAUAAAAAUAAUUUUUUUUAUUUUAUUAAUAUGCUAGAAUGCAUGAUAAGAAUUUAGAUUAAGAAUUAAUCUUAUUGAUCGUCAUUUGAACAUACCAAAACUUAUAUAGGUUGAAAAUCAAUAAAUUUUAAUGCUCGGAUCAUAAUAUAACAUAAUUUCAUAUUAUUUUAACUAUUUUACCUUUUUAAUAUACGUGUUGGAAACCAUCCAACAUAUAUUUUUUUUAUUCUAAGUAUUUUCAGUGGUAUCAACAGGCUGGAUCUUUGAUUUGGAUUCUUCAUUUUUGAUUUUAAAGUUGAGAGUAGAUACCCUCUUCUUUCGAGAAUUUCAUAAAUAUGAUUCAAUUUAGAAGCAAUCUUUUCAUAAUUACAUUAGGUUGGGUUCUGAAAAGCAAUUAAAAUAGAGAAUAUUUCUUACCCCUUUCAAAAACUCAAUCAGAAUCGAUAGGUAAGGUAAUUACUUUCCUUGCACAACAUAGUCAGCCAACUAGCUAGCUGGUUUUCUUACUACAAGUAUGCCUAUAAAGCUAAUAUUUCUUUCUUACUCGAGAGUUUAUGAUUAUAUGGAGCAUGUUGUAAAGAAAGAUAUGUCAUACCGUACUAAACCAAAUGAUACUGGGCAUACAGUACCAUACUAGUACGAUAUCAGUAUAAACUGAUACUCGGUACAUCAAACCGACUUUUAUACCGGAUAUACCAACACAGUAACAGAUUGGUACCGCUAUAGAAACCAGUGCCGACUUCAAUAGUAGCACACGACAAGGAGGUUCAACCUCAACAAAGAACUACUUUACUUUUUCCAGGGAAAAGAACCUUAGUAUUCCUUGUACCCUUUUUAAUUCAUGCAAAAUGCUAAGCAGUCAUGCAUCGGAUGCUUGGCAUGCAUUUGUCUAUGUUUGAAUUACGGGCCAAAAACCCUUUGCUAAAUUUAUUAUAAAAUGGAGCUGUCAGUCCCAUCAUAUCUUAAGCAUUAGUGGUCCAAAGUUCACAAAUACAACAAAGCAAACUAAUUUUGCAGCAUGUAAACUCUUUGAUUUAAAUGCAACCUUCUAUUUUUUUAAGCGAUCAAUCUGAUUCAAGAGUAAUCCCUCCUUGGCAUCCGAGAUUAUUCCAUUUGUUUUUGGCAUCUCAGACAAUUUUUUUCAAUAAAUUAGCAUCAAAGAUAGUACUUUGGACUAGUAGUUAAUCUCAAUUAUACUAUACCAACCAAGAAUUCUAAAAUCCUAUUUAUCGGUCAAGAUCUAAAAAUAUCAGAAUUCUUCUCAAAUUUUUCUCACCUUUCAUCUCAGUGGAGAUAAACCAAAAUCUUGUCUCAUUCUGCAUCAUUCAUCCACUAAGAUGCUGAUAUUCCAAAAUUUGAAGACGUUCACAGAAAGGGAUAUUCAGGAAAUGGCAUAAUGCAUAUGCAAUCUUGCAAAUACGAAAAAUGGAAGGAUUCAUUUGCAAAUCAUGGAUAAGUGAGGGCAUUCCUCGUAAAAUAACCCUAAAACUCAACAACCUUACAUUCAUUUUGGCCAAAAUAAAUCAAUUUUGUGAUAGUUCAUCUUGAUAUUGCUCACCUACAAAGACAAUUGUGAUCAUCAUAGUUCAGAGUAAGAAUCCACAAUGCCAAUGCAAUAGACACAAGUAUCUAGAGAGUAUACGCUCAUAGCAACCAGCAAUAGGCUCGAAAAUUUCAACUACCGAUGGUAGCCUUUCCUCCAAAGUCUUCAACUUCUCACAUCGUCCGAUGCAUAAAUAGAAAAGAAACUGAAAAUAAAACAUAGAAUGCAUAAUAAAGCCUGUAUGCAGAAAAUAUUAUACUAUCAAUUCUACAACAAGAUGCGCCAAAUUUUCAAGCAUUACCAGUCAUAAGCAAAUAAAGCUUUUCUUUUUACUUUUUGUUAAUAGACGCAAAUAAAGCUUUAAUUGCAGCUUAAGUAUAAGAAAACAUCCCUUUAUAAAUUGCUAGGUACAGCAAGGUACUUGGUGUAACGUGCAUGAGCUAUGAUCUUUCCAGUCUUCUUCUUCCUUAGCUCUACAGUGGCAACCCCCACAGCCUUUCCAGCCCGUAGAACCUUCACUUCGAUCUCAAUGUCUUCCUGUAUUACCAAACAAUCAAACAAUUUCUAUCAACCUUGCCUAUAGAAGAGUAUCAUUUUAGAAUCAAGAAGUUAUUUAAGGGUACUGCUCGAAGUUUCUUCAUUCAGCCUAAUUGCGCCCAUGGUGCAGCGAAUGAUAAUGAAGUCCAAAAAUAUUUCAAACAAAAACAGAAAGCAACAGCAAAGAGGUCUAUAAAAACCAAAAUCAGCCAGGAAAGUUAAAAGAUGCUUUACUCUUAUGUUUUCCCCCUCAUCGUGACCAGAAUGCUUGUCCUCUAGAUGACUAAAUGUGAUGUGCUAUCAACAAAUGUUCCCAAUGUCAAAGGAUCAAACCUCAAUCCAUAAGACCCAGCACAUGAUAUGAGGAUUGCAAAACUAAGUUUAAGGUUAAUUAUAUUUUAUUUGGAACCUUUGUUUCACAUUAUAAAUUAUUUGAUACAACUGGUGUAUGUUACAUUCAAAUCUGAGCUUCUCCAAAAUGAAUAUGCUUUUCUUGGCAUCACAUGACCGUAUGUUGACUUGGAGUGCAACCUGGAACGGGUUAACCAAACCUGACCAAACCAAACCAGUAAUUUGGCUUCGGUUGAGUCAACAUAAACCUAACUUGGGCUUGGACUGAAAAAUGUCCACCCAACUUUGAGUGGGGUUCAGUUCAGCUUAAGAGCUAGGGCAACCAACCCGACACAAACCCAAACCAGACCUGUAUAUAAGAGUGCCGAACACGAUGCAAGCAAAGCCUAAACCCUACCAUGCAUAUGAUCUGAACCCAAGAAACCCAAACUCAAAUCAUAUUUCUAGGAUUAAGCUCUCGAUCCAAUUUAGUUUGAGCCUUGUUGGGCCAACACAAACCAACCUAAAUUUGUUUCAGUAGAAAGUUUUUCAGUGGGGUCACGUUCGGGUUUGGGUGGUCAAUUCAUAAUUUGGUUGGGUUAGGGUUGGGCUGGCUAUCCCCAUAUCCGGAUUGGGCUUCGGUGGGCACUCAAAACACAACCCAACCCACCAGAUUUGAGCCCAAGCAUGGACAAUCUGAAAACAAUUUUCAGAGAGAGAAUAAAGGAAGACUUUGAAACCUAGCACUGACACUUUCGUUCAUAAAUAACCAGGCAAGCUACAAGUCUAAUGGAAAUUACAAGAAAACAUCACAAUGAUCAACGGAAGCUUGAGAUUUAACAGAGAAAUAGAAAGAUUAUAAGGUAAUUGAUAAAAAUGCGACUUUGAGAAACAAGUAGAAAAGGAACUUAAGGAAUCCUCAAGCAAGAAAUUUAUAAUAAAAGAAUUACGUUAAAUUUCACCAAUGCAUUUACAUUUGCCCUUCAUAGAGUUGCAUUUGACAAUUUUGAAUCUUACCUUGCUGUAAAUCCAAUCUGAAGCAAACUAUUGAUGAACAUAAAGAAGCCCCACACUGGCUAUAACAAAACCUCGACGCCAUUCCAAAACUAAAAGUCAAAUGUUGCACCAUGACCAAAAGUGCUGUCCUUGCAUAUGAUAACACAAUGGCCAGUUCUAGUUUAUAAUCAUUAUGUCAAUAGCUCACCACUCCAAACAGGAAUAUCCACUAUACCAUUGACAAAUCACAGCAUAUGAUUUCAGCAACUAUCUUGAAUAUUGCAUCUCCAUCUCCAGCUAAAUUACGUGAUAAAGUUUCCAAGAAAAGUCAAUGGGCUAAGCUUAUCCUUGAGAUCCAAUGGUCAUCCAAUAAAUGCUUUCACAAGAAGUAGUGGUUUAUCAUGGACAGCAGUUCAGGAGUGUUCAGAAUUGCUGAGUGCUCAACAAAGUUGUCAUGUAGAAAGAUCCUAUUUUACAGGACGCACCACACUAUCAGUUCUAUGCUAAUUUUUUACCACUUAUUUCCUUGAUAAAAACGAAAGGACUUAAUAUAGUGGCUCUUUGUCUUACUUGAUAUUUUCUAUACAGGAACGGAAGAAUCAACAACGAAGAAGGUUGAUAACUUCAUGCAGAAAGACUGCCCAAUAAAUUCAUUGCAAAGGAAGAUCCAAGUACAACAGAAUUUGAUGUGGGUUGUUACUUUUAACUCUAUCUUAUGCUUGAGGCAUAUCUUGCCACCUAAUGCAUGCAGUUUAGCAACUGCACAUCUUACUGUGGUGGAUAUAUGAUUAUGUACUAGAAAAGUAAAUCAAUUAAAAUGUGAAUAACAUAUAAUUUUUUAAAUUGAUGUACAAUAUGAUUUUUUUAAAAACAAUUUCAACCUAAAACAUCAAAACUAUAUAUCCAAUGAUACUAAACAAUAUAGAUUAUUCUAAAAUUUUUCGUAUAUGUUGAUCCAGAAGGAUCGCAAAAUUCGAUGUGGACCACUUUAGAAACUAUGGGGACAACUAGAUGGGGUCCAAGAGUGAGAUCCACCACAAUUGAUGUGCUAUUUUUUUCCCCAAAAUUGGUUAACUUUUCAAACUCUAUGACGCAGCGCCACCCCUUAAGGGUGUGGCACACUAAGCAAUUACAACCAAAUUCCAUCGUUUCAAACUCAAAAUGGAUUAGAUCGAUACAAAAAAUUUAUUUUUUGAAAAAAACUUUGACCAGGCAUAUCUCCCAAUCCGGAAAAAAUCAGACAAAAUGGCUGAAGACAGUCGAGGUUUACCUCUUAUAAGAUUUUAGCUUUUUCAUGAUUAUUUCUACUAGACUUGCCUACUUUAGGAAUGUUGUAUCCUUUUUUAACUAAAAAAGAAAUCCGAUCUAAAUUGUGCAAGGAGACCUUACUAGUAUAAAUAGAGGCUAUGUAACCGAGUUUAUUGUUGAUUAAUGAAAGAAAAGAGGACUUGACCCAACUGUCACUAAUUUUUUUAUUUUUUUAAUAUUUUUUUUAUUUUUUUACUUUUUAAGGAGAUUUGAGUAGAGCGGGUUGAAGAAAUUACUUCCUUCUCCAUGAUCGGAUUAUAUGUUGUCUCAUGAUCUAUUUGCCAUUCUAAAACUACGCAUGUUCUGCAUUCUUCCAAAGAGUAAGAUAUGCCAAACAUCUAUUUGCAACAAGGCAAAAAAGUUCCCAUGACCACCAUAACCAACAAAUAUAUCAGGAUACUGACUUGGAUUCAGGUUAUGCAGGUCUUCCAAAAUUCUUUAUUCCCGAUGCCAUUACAGCUCCAUAGCAUCAUCUUCAUUCAAAAAAACACAAGGAACACAAUCCAUAGCAUCAUCUUCAUUCGAAAAAACACAAGGCAUGCAUCCUUUCUUACAUGCUAUUCGAUUCAAAUUCAAUCAAUCCCACCCUUAAACCUUAAUUGAAUGUGAUUCUCUACCCCACUAGAUGUCCCUGCCAUUGUGACAAGAUGUAAAGUUAUUCAUUAAACCACCAAAGUAUUCUCAGCAAGUGUCGCCAAGCUUAGUUUACUCUGUAGGAACGUCUUCAACAGCUAUGCCCUAGAAUAAGGGAGGCUGAAAAAAGUAACCACUAAAAACAGAGUAUCAAAGUUGUCUUUAGGAUCAUACCACAUUAAGGACCAUUCAUCUACUCUGAUACAAUUCAACCAUUACCUAACCUAAGACUACUCCGCAUUACCCAAAUUUGGCAAGAAACUGAUGACCGACAUAACCCUAACAAAAUGAUGGUUAAUUUUAUGCCCCUGAAUGCCAUGGGAAUAUCUGAUCCAGUCUGAGCUAGCUCAGUUGUCUCAGCAAGUUGCACAGAGCUCAGUUCACUCUAAUGAGAAUAGCUUAAACAACUAUACCAAUAAUGGAACACUAAUUAAGAAACAUCAAAGCACAGUUAAUCUGAGGUGGAUAUAUAACUUGAUUAUGGUGUCUGCUAGUUAUUACCACAUUUAAGGACCUACGUCUAGUCUGAUCCUACCCAAUAAUGAUACAAUCUAAGACCACACAUAGUUUAGAAACUUUACUAAAUACUAAUGAAUCACAUACCAUAAUCCAGCGACGGCCAAAUUUAUGCCCCCAAAUACUAUCAAACUAGUUGAUAUAUCCUCCAAAAUUCAGACUUACAACUCUUUCCAGCAAACACAGUUUAAAGGGGAAGAAAAAACAUAUUUAAAACAGAUACUUCAUCUCUUCUAAACUCCAAGCCCCAAAGUACCAUCAAAAAUGCCGAAUUUUGCAUCCUUAAAACUUCAAAGUUAUCCCCGGCUUGAAAAAUAAUAGCAGAAAAAACAUUCUACAGCAAAGAGGAUUUACUUCCAAACUUCGAAACAGCUGAAAUUACGCACAAAAAAAUGCACAAUAAUGGAAAUUAACGCGUUUUCAAAGCUAAAGAAAUGAGUUCUAACUAAAAGAAGGAAACGCACAUGGACAAAGGCGGCAUCCAAGUAGGCGAUGCUCAUCUCCAGAGGGGCACCCUUGGUCCGAGCCCCGGCAGUGUAGAAGGCGGCGGACCCGACCAAAUCGACCAGGGAAGCGGUGGCGCCGCCGUGUAGAAACUUGCCGGUGUUCUGUAUGGAGAACGAGCAGGAUUAGAUUGGAGAAGAUCGGGAGACCAAGAGGAAAGAAGGGGGUUUCGGGCGGAGGUGACACUGGGAGAAGGGCUUACGAGGAGGCGGGGAGGGACGGUCAUGGAGCAGAGGAGGCGGCCGGGUUCGAGAAGGUCAACGCGGAGGCCAUGGAGGACGAAGGCGUCGUAAAAUUUGGAGGGCAGGGCGUCGAGGGACGGGGAUGGGAGGAUCUCCUCCGCUGCUGCCUCCAGCGAUCGCUUCACUGCCUCAAAGUCCAUGAAUGGGAGCUGCGUAACGGGGCAGAUGGAACUGGGACUUGGUAGAAAAGCUUAUUUGAUCAACACCUGCAGCGCGGAAAAGGGAGAUUAAACGUAGGGCUGGUUUGGUUCGCUGGGAAAGAGGGGAGAAAAAAAAUAUGGUUAACGAAAAAGUAAAUAAUGGUUGGUUGGAAUUUAAAAAAAUAAAAAAAUUAUAUUUAUAUGAAAAUAUGAUUUUUAUGUUUUAUAAAAAAUUAAUAAAAAAUAUAAAAAAGUUAUUUUUUAUACUCCGAGCGAAACAUUUUUAUUUUUUAAAAAAAAAGAUCAUCCAAAGAUCCUUUUAUUAAAGAUCUAAAUUUUAUUAAACAUAUAAUAGGAAUUACAUAUAACUUUUCCAGAAAAGUAAAUGAUCAACUAAAUAUAAGUACUCUGAAAAUCUGUUAUUUUUCCAUGGUCAACCAAACAUGCCAAAAAUACUUUUCCAGACAUCCUCCUUCCAGGAAUCAUCUUCCUAAGAAUUAUAUUCCUAUGAGAAAAAAUCUUUCCGCGAACUAAACGAGCCCGUAAUAAGUGUUUAUCGGGAGGCAAACACAGCUGGUGACUGGAUGGUCUCCACUCUAGAUGAAUCAGGCGGACAUUUCCGAUCCGCUUAGACAGCUUUUUUUUCUAACUUUAUUAGUUGUACUCAUAUUUGUUUGGUGCGAGGAGCCGAUAUACCCAAAAAGAAUAUGCUUGAGUUGUAUAUGCUUGAGUUGUUUCACAAAUAAGAAUAUUAUGAAAAAAGAACUGUAGUUGGAAUCUUAGGUUAAGAAAUGCUUAAGAAUAUUAAACUAUAUCUGCGACCUAAUUAUUGUGGUUCUCUUACUAAAUGAUAUCAUCGUUAAGUAAGUUUUAUUAAUUAAAUUUAAUGGUAUCUCAGUUAAGAACUUUGAUAGACGCAAUAUUUUUGCUAUAUUCCUUCUUUCAUUUUAUAAUAUAGUAUAAAUAUUGUAACUAAUAUUUUAGAAAGUCUCAUAAUUUAAUAAAUAUUAAAAAUUUAGAUAUGAGAUCACUUCUAAGGANNNNNNNNNNNNNNNNNNNNNNNNNNNNNNNNNNNNNNNNNNNNNNNNNNNNNNNNNNNNNNNNNNNNNNNNNNNNNNNNNNNNNNNNNNNNNNNNNNNNNNNNNNNNNNNNNNNNNCUUCACAUUCCAACCUCUAUGAAUUACUUAAACACUCUUUUUUCAUCUCCAAAGAAAUAUAAUUUUUCACUUGAUAUUGACUUCUAGUGAAUUUUUAAGUCGAGAUUGGAUUCUAUCUUAAUAACCCAACUUAAUCUCGACGAGGGUUCUCUAUCAUCCAAUGGUGAUCACAUUGUUUUUAGUCGUAGACAUAGGUCCAAUCUCUAUUACCAUAUUGUUUGAAAGAAUGCUCUAUAUACCAUCACCCUACUCUUCUUGGGUUUAUCUUAUGUGCCCCAACUUCUUAAAGAAAAUGAUCCCUUUUGUGAAAUAAUUCAACCCAAACAACUCUAUUUUCAAUCGAUCAUCAAAAUUAAAUUAUUCCAUAUAAUUGAAAAUAUUUUUUUAUUUUGUAAUUUAAGUAAUUUGUUUAUGUAUUUUGGUACUAUGAUAUUUAAAAUAAUAUCCUGUCUCCUUCAAUAGUCUAAUGCAUGGCAUGGGCUUUUUGCUUGUUGUUUUGUUUCUUUAUAAUAAUGUGACACGCAUACACCCUAUUUUAAAAAGUAUAAUUUUCUUAAAUUUAUUUCUUAAAGUAAGAACUAAAGCAGGAUGCACAUUUUUUUAAUUGAAGAGUGGUUGUAGCAUCAUUUAGUUGGAAAGUCAAGAAGACUUUAGACUACCCUAGUCUCAUUUCAUGGAAUGAAAAGAAACAAUAUUGUUCAGAACUCCAGUACCAUUAUAAUGCAAACACUGAUUCCAUUCAUGAAAUUUGACUUCAUUUUUAUUUUUUAAGAUCCAGCUGAUCAUUUUGUUGAACCUGUAUUCUUCUCACCAUGCCAGUGUGCCAAUCGAUUCAAAAGUUGAACUCAACUACAGCCCAUUUCCUCCAAGGGUUAAGUGUUUUCUUUGGUUAUGCUGGAAGAAGAAAUUGAAUACAAAAGAUGUCCUUGGAAGAAAGCUUGGAAAAAAUCAUGGAGGUUGCAUUUUUUGCAACCAAGCACCUGAGAGGGUAGACCAUCUUUUCUCUACAUGCUUCUUCUUAUCCACCAUUUGGAGGGCUGUUUGUUCCACUCCAAAGCCAUUACAUCCACAAUCCACCUUUGAGAAGCUUUGCUUUGAUUGGAGAUGGAGAAAUUUUCGAAAACAGCUACACCCAGUCAUCCUCAUGUUGUAUGCCGCCAUGGCCUUGACUUCUUGGAGAGAGAGGCUUCAGAUUGUCUCUGCUUCAGCUUGUAUGAAAAGGGCAUUUGUCUCUUUUAACGGUUCUCUUUUUUUCUCUGCAACUUAUGUUUUUUCUCUCCCCUAUUGCAUGUCAAGCUUGCUGAAACUUAUGAUACUCUGUUAUCUCUUUUUAACAUAACAAAAGCAGGGUGCACUUGGCCCCCUUAUUGUCUUAACAAAAAAGCCAAUAAUUCACAAGUCCAAAAAUUCGUGCGGUUUCCUGUCAUCUUUUUUUCUGAAAAUAUCAAAGCCAACGAUCUGGCAUCUCACAAGAGGAUUAGUUUCGAGCAGCUCCACUCGCCUCCAACUUUAAUCGACUUCUCCCACGCAUAAUUCAUGGGCAGAUAUAUAUGCUGGCUAGACUCCAAGGCAGCUGUGAAAGGUGAUACACCAAAUGAUUCUAAGGCAGAUGCUUUUAAAUCCUUCGGUGGUUUAGAGUGCAACAUAGUGGAUGUGAAAUGUAAUACAUUCUAAGGCUGAUGUUUUAGACAUAAGAUCUAUUGGAUGGAGUCUAAGGAUAAUUUACCCAUCAAUCAUGGUAUAUUGACACCAUCAUCAACCUUCAAAGUUCCGAGCUAACAUGAAAGACACAAUAAAGCACUGCUAGCAUCGCUUGGACUACCAUUAGCGUGCUCUAUCGUGUAGAGUAGGGUGCAUGAAAUCAAAUAAUUCUCACAAAUUUUGUAGGAAAAUCUUUCCAGAAGCAACAACGAUUGAGCUAUGACAAGAUAAAGGGCGACAAGCCAAUCUUUGAGACUCAAACCCAAACCAAGCUUAACAAAAAUUAUGAGUUAUUGUUAUUAUUAUUUUUUUAAUACAACCGUGACUCAUACCGAUGUGCGUGAGUACAACUAAUAAAAUCAAAAAAAAUAAAUUGACGAAGAGAAAAUAAAACAGAUUCGUAAUUUUCUUACAGAAUUUCUUUAGAAUUUUAUAUGGUAAAAGAGGCAACUCAAUUAAUAAUACUAUUUAUCUUUCAAUAAAUAUGAAUAAUUUAAAUAUAUGUAUGUAUGUAUUUCUUAAAUUCUAUAUCUGUCUCGAAGCAAUGGUUGUCAAUUGUUAUAAUUGUGUCGGUUCUGAAUCCAAUCGAUCGUCGUAGCAGAAUAUGCUGUCCGUACUCAGUCGCAUGCCGCAUGGGUUGUAGUUAUUCCUGCGCUACUCUCCCUAUCUCUCUGUCGCCCUACCGGCGGUCAGAAUGCUAGUGUCGCGAGCCAGAACUCGCCUGCUCGUCUCCUUCGCUUCUCGUCACCUUUUAUCAUCCCAACCUGAUCCCCAUCCCUCUCCCACCUCCCCCUCUUCCUUCUCUGCCGCCGUCUCCGCCUCGGACGUCGUCAACGAUCUCUGCCGCGUCCUCAGCGACUUCCGCGCCCCCCACCACGACCUCGAUGCUGCCCUCCGCCCCUUCGCGCCCCUCCUCACCCCUGCCCUCGCCGAGCACGUCCUCAAGCGCUGCAGCCGCCUCCCAGGCGCCGCCCAUCGCUUCUUCCUCUGGUCCGACGCCCUCCCGGGCUUUCGCCAUACCCCCGCCAGCUGCCUCAUCGUCAUCGAGUCCCUCGCCGCAUCCCGCCACUUCCCCCUCCUCUGGUCCUUCCUCUCCGAGCUUCGCGACUCCGGCCUCAGCCGCGGCGAUGCCGACGAGAUCCGGCCCGAGGCCUUCUGGCUCCUCUUCCGCUCCUACUCCCGCGCCCGCCUCCCCGCCGAUGCUGUCCGGAGCUUCAAACGGAUGCCGGACUUCGGCCUCCAGCCGGUCCUCGAAGACCUCCACCAGCUUCUCUUUUCCCUCUGCCGCAACGGCCUCGUGGAACAAGCUCAUUCCUUCUUCGACCAAUCCAAGCUCCGGUUUCCAGUCAAUCAGAAAACCUACAGCAUGGUGAUGGGAGGCUGGGCGGCAGCCGGGAAUUCGAAGAAAGCUCUCGAGCUGUUCGACGAAAUGCUUCAAAGAGGAUGCUUGGCAGAUGCGGUCGCCUACAACACCUUGAUUAUGGCCCUCUGUCGAGGAGGGGAGAUCGACGAGGCCCACCGGCGGCUACAGGAAAUGCAGAGAGAUCGUGGGCUCAAACCUGAUGCCGGCACAUACUCUGCUUUCAUUCGUGCCUCCUGUGAGGCAAAGGAUGUGCAUUCUGCCAUGAGAGUGCUUGAUACGAUGAAAAGGCACGACCUUUCACCGAAUGUGUUCACCUAUAAUGCCAUCAUCAAGUUGCUAUGUGAGAAGGAGAACGUCGUGGAAGCUUACGAGUUGCUCGAUGAGAUGCUCCAUAGAGGGGCGAAGCCCGAUGCUUGGAGCUAUAAUGCUAUAUUAGCAGUUCACUGUAAGCUUCAUGAGGUUAACAAGGCCUUGAGGCUGCUAGCCAGGAUGGUCAGAGACUCUUGCUUGCCAGAUCGGCAUACAUAUAAUAUGUUGCUGAAGAUGCUUAUAGGGGUCGGAAGGAUCGAUAGGGCAAUGGAAGUUUGGGAUGGAAUGGAGAAAAGGGGAUUUUAUCCGUCAGCUUCAACAUUUGCAGUGAUGAUCCACGGGCUCUGCAGGAAGAAAGGAAGGAUUGAAGAGGCUUGUCAAUACUUCGAGGUGAUGGUGGAUGAGGGGAUUCCACCUUAUCUUAGUACUUGUGAGUUGCUAAGGGACAAGCUGUUGCAGCUUGGGUUGAGAGAGAGGGUUGGUGUGCUUGUGGAGAAGAUGAAGAUGAGCACUUCGUGCACAAUACAAGAGUUAUCAAGCGCCAUGGGAAAAGAAAAAGGAUAGAGUUUGAUGUAAAAUGAGUGAACCGUUUUCUCAUUCCAUGAAGCUUUGGAAGUUUAUUGCUAGCUCACUAUUGAUUUUAGAGUGGUUGCAUCCCGAAGUGUUGGCUCAAACUAGACUUUGAUGGAUGGUUGCAAAUUCUAGAUGCCCAUGGAUUGAUGAGUUGGCUAAUAAUCCAAGAAGUACUCUUGGUGGGGAAGAAAAGAAUUCCAAUGAAGCACAGGUGCUGAAAGAACUGCUGAGGAUGGUGUGGUGGAAUAUGACUAUGGGAUUAAACAUUAUUGAUUAGACCAUGAGAAGCAAGAUAGCUUAGAAGCAAAAUAACUUGGAACAACAUUCAAAUACUUAACAUAUUCUCGUAACAGGGAUGGCUAUGUGCAACCAUGUUUCUCAUAAUGCUAUGAGAUGAUACGACCCUUAAUUAAAAGAUGGAGAAGAGGACUAGUGGGGGAUAUUUUAUCGUUACUGUUAUUGUUAUUGUUGUUAUUGUUAUUCUAAAUGUUAUCAUUAUUCUUAUUCUUUUUGUUAUUCUUAUUGUGAUUCUUAUUGUUAUUCUUAUGUUGUUGUUGCUGCUGCCAUCACUACUACUAUUGCUGUUAUUUUGGUAAUUUUUAGGAAAAAAAAAUUGAGAACAUUAAGAGCCUUUUUGGAUACUUCUGCCAAGAGAAUACCCUGCAGGCAUAGGCAAGGAGGGAGGAGAGGGAGAGGCAGAGAGAUGCCUGAACAUUGCAAGGGAAAAAGGACCCACGGGGUCUUUUGUUUAUUCCUUCAGGAUAUGGGAUGGGGUGGAGCUGGGAUGACGCCAGCUAUGCCAAAGUGAGCUGAUCGAUCUACCAAUUCAGUGGGAUUGGUUUAGCUUUCCCAAGCAGGAUCUAAUUGUUGUACUUAAAGAAGAAAUAGGCUUUUGAAGAAACUUAUUAGAGAUCAAAACUGAUCUAUCUAGAUUUGGAUACGCCUGGUCUUCUGAUUGUUUCUGUUGUCAUAUUCAUGAAAAGGUCCUUAAUUCCUCUGGAUGGAGAGUAUUGUUCUCAUUUUGUUGAUUUUGCUUUUGUCUUCCAAAGAGAUCAAAGCUGACCCAUCUUGCUGAAAUAAUGCUUGGUAUUGUUAUUAUCAUUGUAUUUGUGAAAUAUCUGAACAUUUUAGGAUUGGUGAGUUCGUGUCUCUUUAAAUUCUUAUUGUUGAUAUGCCUUCAUUGAUAAAGCAUUUGCAUUACCCACCAAAAUCACUAUCUAUAUCUUCAAAACUUUGGUGACUUAAUGGAACCUGAAAUUUUCUAUUUAAAUACUCAGGAACAAUUUUUAAAGAUUAAAUGUCCAAUAGCUGUUUUUUUUUCUGCCAGUUGCUCCCAUGGAAUCACAUUUGAACCUGUAUGCCUGGUCCCGGGGUUUCAUAGUUUUUUACUGCUUGGUUGUUCAAUUGUAUUGCAUGAAUUUAUUGGAGAAAAGUGAAAAAUCAUGAUUGAUUUUGAAUGUUUUUUUUCCUGUUGUCAGGAAUCAUCAGUGACAAACACAAAAUAGGAGGAAGCUAGUUGCCUAUGGAUCCUGACUUUAGAUAUCAAUGGCUCUUAACAUCUAUUUAGAGACUCCGUGCUUUCCGGUUACACCGUCAUUCCCACAUAGCCACAUAUAUUAAAAGGAGAAUUUGAAUCAAGAAGCACCGCCCAUAAACUUGGUUUGGAGCAUAAAUGAGGUAGACUACAGAAAUCCUGGAUAGAAGCCAUAAGAAAGCUAGAGAAUUCUUGCUUCAGCUCAUAGCUCUGAUAGAAUUUAAUGGUGAAAACUGCUUCUGCUUCAUUUAACAGUCACUGUAUUUUAUAUUUUACAAUAUUCAUUUACAAAAGCAGCUGUUUCUUCCAUCAUCACAGCAGAGUAGGCUCAAAAUAUUGAUGCCCCGACUUCUUCUAGGUUUUAUAAAAUCAUGAAACUAAGGAAUAGUGUCAAUGUAAUUAUAGCAUAAUCUUGAUGAAUCUCAAUAGCAGCCAACAGCUAGUUAAAGGAAUGUGAGGUAUGGUAAAAGCAUGUAGAACUUUGUUCCAUAUAUGACCUUAGAUAGCAAAUCAUUUCGGUUUCCUUCAUAGAUCUCUAAUUGAAGCUUAUAAUCUAGGAUCUGCAUUAUGGUAUUAAUCCGGUGGAAUAUUUCUGGAUAACAUGUCUUCGAGCAUGCAAAGAGAGUGACAAGAACUGAAGUACUUAGCAAAAUAAGGUAAAUCAGCUUGUAAUAGGGCUCUUAUCCACAUUUUCACCACAUGCUGGUCUCGUCUAAUGUUCCAUGAGACACUGGCUUUUACUCUGACAAAAAAAAAUUAAACAAAGAUCAAACCUUUUCUCUCUUUCUUCAAUUUCUUCUCCAAAUUUUCCUCUUCAGGCUGCACAUGCCAUUGAAACAAUGGUCAAGAUGUAUAUAUAAAUUCUAAUUCUUUAAGUUUGAAAUAUGGUAAUUUUCACUGUCUAUUAAAAAUCUAAUAUUAGAUAAAUAUUGAAAAUUUAGUUGGUAAUGCUUGCUCGACAAAAGCCAGAAACCUGCCAGGAUUUCUGCUUAUUGUCUGUAACAAUAAAUUUAAAUAAAUAAUUAAUACUUCUGAUCCAAACAGUAGAAAGGUAAGCAGACAAGCAACAAAACUUUUGCUCCUUUGUUGUUUUCUCCAAUCCAUCCUCCGCAGGCUGCAUACACCAUUAACAAAUAAAGAUCGAAAUGCAAUCUUUCAUUCAUUUUCGCCUAUUAUAAAUUGUAGACUUCUAUAAAUCUACUUGAUGUUAAAAAUAUUUGAAGGCAAAUUGCCAAAAAAAAAAACUUGAAAAAACAUGUGCUCGGUUGAAGGUAUCAAAUUAACCGCUCUACACCACUGCUCUCAAAACAAACAAGGAGUAGCUAUGAAUUACUUCUUCAAUUAUCUCUAAACCUACAAUCCAUGCAUUAAUUGGAAACAAAAGAUGAAAUUUUGAGUUAAUAAGGACCAAAACAAGAGAUUUAUUUUAACUAACCUAGGAGUCCGUGUGAGCUUAAAGCUUAACAAAUCAAAAUGGCCCAAUAUCUAAAUAAAUAAUAGAUCUUAUCAAAGCCAUGGAGAGAUUGUUGCAGCAAAAGGUGUAACAACCCAGGACCUAACUCAGAAAAGCUAUCCAAAAGAUAUCAUUUGAGUUUUGUAGUCUUGAAUAAGUACUCAAAAUCUACCCAGUAUAUAGCUGAUGUGGGACUAAACAUACGCUUGUACAGAUUCUCACAUACUCUCCCCAUUUAAGCUCUGGCAUCUUCACCAAAUUGAGAGUCCAAAUCUAUACAAUCUAUUCACAAGUUCCACGAAUCUAAUUACAAACACCAUGAUUAGCCCGUGGUCAGCCCUUAAUAGAGUUGCAUUGCACUAUCUCCUAGUCCACAUGGGACAUGGGCCUGAUUUGCCUUUUUAGGUUAAGUUAGGACCUAACCUAAAAAUGCUAGCUGUAAGGUAUUGUUUGAAUUUUUUUGGCUCUGUAUAAGUAUUCAAGAUUUAUUGAGUACAUAGCUGAUCUGGGACUAAACACACGCCCAUAUGAGUCUUCGCAUACUUUUCUUAUUUAAGCGCUAGCAUUCUCGCCAAGCUAAGAAUCUAAAGCAUUCAAAUUUAAUUACAAGCACCAUGAUCGACCCAUGGUCAGGUCCAAUGAACCCGUGUUGUAGUAUUUCUUAGUUUACAUAGGCCAUAGGCAGAGUUCGCUCUAAUAUCAUUUGUUACAAUCUAGGAUUUCACUUAAACAAGUUAACCGAAAGAUAUUAUUUGAGUUUGUUGGCUUGUAUAAGUACCAAGAUUUACUCUGCGCAUAGCUAUUCUGGGACUAAACGCAUGCCUACACAAGUCCUCACAAAAGCCUUCUUCGAGUAUGAUCACAAUAUAAUCAUAUAAUUAGAUAGAUAGAAUAAUAAGCUAAUCUUUUAAAGAAAAACAAGCGAUUGGGAUGGAAAGUCAAUGAGAACCAAGAAAAACAAAAAACAAAUAGAUUUAGAAUCAAGAUUAAAUUCAAUGAGACAAUGACCUUAGGUUUGGAAAAAAAUAGAUGGGAAAUAAAUUAGAUAUCAGUUUCUGAUGGAGUUGCUCUAAAUUCUUGCGGUGAUGGAGACCGCAACAUCGAAGAGUGAAGACAGUAGAAGUGAGAACAAACUACAAAGAUAAAUGGUGGAGAGGAGGGUUUAGGAAUUUGGAGGCGGGAUAGUUUAGAAGUUGAGGUCGAACUAUAUUUAUAAGACUAGAGGUCGAGUUCGAAAUAAUGAUGUGACCAGUAACUCUUAUUAGACUCCAGGCCGGAGCUGACCUUUGUUUAUGAGGCUAGUGAUCCAAACACGACCACAAUCCACAUAAAGAUUCAAUCAGGUUUCAGUUUAGGUCUAAGAGGAGGGAGUUGUCCUAGGGUAACAACAUUUUAAUGGGGAUGGAUAGAAGGGAGAGCUUGAUGAUGUUGAAACUUGGGAUAAAAAAAGUGGAUUUUGUUCGUGAAUUGAACUCUCUUCCAGACUGAUGGAUUGGGUUUCUCGAGGAGUUAUUCAGAAAAUGUUUGUUUCGUUGCCUCCUAUGAAUUGGAGAGAUCAUGAAAAUCAUAAUUGAUAGAAAUUAAAUCUCCGACUAAGAAAAAUGAUAGAUGACAUAUCUUUCGGAAGCACUUGAUCAAUAUUUUCUUUAUUUUUUGCUAAGAUUGGAUGCUUUGGCUCCUUGUUGUGUGGUAAAGUGAGAGAGGAGAGAAGAUUAUUCCAAUGAUUCCUCUUAUUUUUGAUAUUUUUCUUUUUAUGACAUCAGUUGCUGGGAUGGCUUGUGGGAGUUGUGAUAACUACAUAAGAUAUUUAUCAUUAUGUAAUAACUCCCUCUUGAUCCCAUUUAAACCAAGGAUGUCAUGCUUUAUGGGCAUCCAUGCGUGGAUAAGGCCUAGGCAAAAAUUUAUUUAAUAAUAGUAUAACCUUAGUGGCGAUCAUUUUAGGUUAACAUCGUCUAUCUAGCCUCAACCAUAUUUCAUAGUAAUAUCAUUUUCAAUUGCAGAUAUUUUCUGCUAGAAUUUUCUUGAGCAUGCUAUAUACAUGAAAAGGUAAAUAAAGGAAGAAUGGGCUAUGACUAUUAAGAAUGGUAACUUUGUAAUUAAAUUAAAGUGGAGUCAAAUGCUCAUAUCGAGUCAAACCUCGAGCAUUCGUGUUUGUAGAUGCAAAUUGCUCUAUAAAUUAAACAUCAAGAUGUUGAUACAUUUAAUUUAAAGUUUAACCAAAUCAACAGGUGGUCUUGGACUAUUCCAAAAAAAAAAAAAGUUGGCCUCUGAUCAUUAUCGUUGGGUCAUUACAUACUUUUAAAUUUUUAACUAACAUAUCAUCUGUUAAAAGAAUCAAGAUGAUUUUAUGAGAAAUAUAUUGCUUAUUUUGGAGAGUAAGUGUGCAUCUAGGUCCCUUGUGUGGUGGAAAUAGAGGUUUUCGCAUAUUUCAUCUCAACAUUUCACAAGUAAUUCCUGCUCAACCAAGUAUGAGGCAAGGUUAGAUACAUGACCUCUUAUUUGUAAAGAUAGAUACCAACCAGCUGAGUUGCUGGUAGAGUCUAAAAUUCAAAUCUGCAAGGUCACUGUGUAUAAAUCUGCCAAUAGCCUUAUCUGUAUCAUCUAUUGAAUAUGUACAAUGAAGUUCACAAUCAAUUGCACUAUGUGUAAUGGAAACUUGUCACAGAAUUUGUACAUUUAGAUAUCGAAUCAAGAAGAAACUUGGAAAAAACAAUUCACUACUUCAUACUUCGUACUUCAUCUAAUGUGCAAUAUAUGUUCAUCAGAUGCAAGCAAUGACAUACUAUUGCAAGUUCUUGCUAGAAAGGCAACAAAGAAAAAGAAGGUUAGAACUUCGGAAUCUUCAAUAAGAAGAGACUAUAAUAUGCUUGUUUUUUUUUUUACUUGGCGUAUAUAUUUUCCAUCAAAUUCCUUGCUUAGAAAAUAGAAAUUUCGGAUCCCCAAGGGUAUAAAAUGCAUUCUGCUGCAGCAUUACUUGCGGCACCCUACAGCAUUUGCCAACUUGGCCAAUAUCAGCAUUGGUGCAUGUUGUUCUACAAAAUAUCGCAAUCUCAGUAUUCUUCCAUGCAAAUCGCUCUGCUGAUGUGCUGAUUUAGAAGGAACAUAUAUAGGUUUACGAUACCGGGUAAAACUUUGGGCCGACCCACUCCAAAGCUAUUUCUGGAUACUUAUGAAUAUAGGCGUAGUUCAGCCUGCAAUUAUAUAAUAUUGCUGGUUGCACAGGUCCAAUCCAUAAAUCUAAUAGGAUUUACAGCCUAAUCACCCAAACAAGUCCUUAGUAGGAUCAUAGAUCUACAACGCCAUGUAAAGCUUUGAAUAUGAACAUCAUGAUGUUUAGGUUGAGGUAAAUUAUCAUGUAGGAGGCAGAGAAAUGCUAAACUAACACGAAUCCAUAUGAAUAAUCAUCAAUGCCCCCGCGACCAAGAAUGCGAUCCUUCUAUUACCUAGGUAGAUAUUAAUCCUGAUUCUCCUUUCAGGAUCAUAUGUAUUAAUAUUGUUCUAGGUAUGAGUUUGCUUCCUAGGUUGGAAAAAAAACAUAUUUUAUACUUUAAAGUUGAACAAGAUCAACUUUCAAGACACAUGCUAGGAGGAGCAUGAAACUCUCACUAGUGCAUGAAACAUAUGACUAGCUUUUUCAGUUUUUGUUUCUUUAUUCAAUUGAACAUGGCACCAUCCACAAGCCAACUUCUUCUUUUUUUUUAAUUGUUUCUAGUCUGUUUCUGGUCUUGUCAUUCUUCCUUUUAAUUGUUUCUCGUUUUUUUUUUUUGCUCAGAUUAAGAUGAUUAAAAUGUUUCCGUGAUGGAAAUAAAUGGAUCCGAUAUACCGUUGAGCUGGUGCAUCAGAUAAGUUUUUCUGCAUGCGACUCAAAAUAAGAGUAUAACCGGCAAAUGGCUCCCAAAUUAGAACACACUAUAGCCUCGCCCAAACCACUGAAAAAAGGUGGGCUGCUACUAUUUUAAAGGCACUAAGCUUUUUCCUUGUUCUUCUUUUCAAGGAACUAAAGCGUGCAGGAUGCCAUGCGCGGCUUAAGUUCCCACAUACGGCCCCACCAUUAUGCGAGUUUUUUUUUCUGGUUCGUAGAAUGGGAUACCUUUCUUUAAUUAGGUGGCUUCUUUCUUAUUUCUUAAAAAUUCCAACCUCUUAGCUUGUAUAUUGAGUAAAAGAUUAUGCAUACGUUACGCGUCUCUGAAUAAUUGACACUGUAGCUUAAUACCAACGAUAAAGUUAUUUUAUCUAAAUCAUAUGGAACAUGAUGACAAUACUAUUAAAAUCCCGAUUUACCGAUACAAAUGAUGUGGACUCAAAUCCUGUCCUCAUUUGAUACUAGUUGGCUUCUGUAUUUUUUUUUGGCCAAAUUUGAUAAAUUGAAUAAUUUAAAUUGGAUAGAAAGAGUUGACGAAGAAUUUCAUAACACAAUUCUAGUGUAAUUGGCGAUACAUGUCACCAUCCAGUCUAAUACUAUUAACUUUUCUAUAGAUAUAUGAUACUUUGAUAGAUAGCAAUGCAUGCAUCGUACAUACAAUAAUGGGAUAAAUUGUUGCAUUAACAAAAGGCGGAGAUAAGCACAUCCCCCACCUUUGAAAAGAAAAAAAAUGGAAAAACUUUUGCUCGUUGACGUCGAAAGGUGACAGUCAUGUGUAGGUUUUGUCAUCUGUAACCAAACCUAAUUUUUAAGUUAGUCAUGCCAUCUACCCAGAAAAGAAAAAAAAAAGUUAAAGUCAUGCCAAUUUUAGGUACAAACCAAGACUUAAGACCAAGACCAAGACCUUGAGUCAAGAAUUAGAGCUCUAUCUAUUGGGCCCAACCAAGCCCAACCAAGCCCAUUAUCUCAGGAGAAGGAAACAAUUACCGGCUCUCGGCCUUCCAUCAAACUUUCGUCGCGGCUUCGAGUUUCCACAGCGCCACAUCGAACUUUGUCAUCUUCCACGCGAAUUCGCGGCGCCGUUCGAUCGCCUCAUUGCGUGGCCACAACGGAGACAAUUCAUCGACGACCGCCACGUGUCUUUCACUCCCUUCCGGGAAUAAAAAUCGUGUGGAACGGACAUUACAGAAUAUUUUAUAGUUUCUCUUUUUCGUUUGGUUAAAAAAAUUAUUAUUUUUUUUAAAAUAAUUGUAAAAAUAUAAUAUUAAAAAUAAUUUUAGUAUGCUUGAUUAUAUAAAAAUAUUGUAUUCUGUUAUUUAUAUUUAAUUAAGUAUUUAUUUUUUUUAAAAAAUAUAUAAAAUAUUUAUUAUAUCUUAAAAAAUUAGAGAUAUGUUUGAAAAAAAAAUCUCAAUACUCAGUCGCUCGGUAAGUAGUUUUUAAUAUUUAUCAUAAUUUUUUAUAUAACUUAAAAAACUUAUUUCUAUAAAAGAUUAUGUUUAAUAUUGUAAUUCAAUAAUAUAUAUAAAUAAUUUUAAAAAUAAUUUUUGUAUAUUUGAUCGAUUAUGUAAAAUUAUUGUAUUUUGUAAUUUAUAUUUAAUUAAGCAUUUAUUUUUUAAAAAAUUAUAUAAAAUAUUUAUUAUAUUUUAAAAGAUUUAAAGAUAUGUUUGAAAAAAAAAUCUGAAUUCUCAGUCGCUCGAUAAGUAGCUUUUUUUUAAAAUAAAAUAUAAAAUUUUAUUUCUAUAAAAAUAUUAUUUUUUAAUAUUGUAAUUUAUUUAUUUAUUUAUUUAUUUCGGCGAAUAUACGAUUCCCACCCCGUAAGAUAUUUUUGUUCCCUUCGGUCCUCGACCCGUCGGUCCUUAGUUUUCCCCUUCCAGAGGCUACUCGAAGUCUCGAACCAUACGCGUCGUAACCCUCGGACAGUGACCCGGCUCUCCAGGACCCUAGCCAAUUCCUCCACCUUCCCCUCCCUCUUGAUUAAUUUCUUCUUCUUCUUCUUCUUCUUCUUCCGUCUCGUUUCUACUUCCGGUUGGUACCCUUUUCUCGGUUGGAUUCGUGGAAUCUGGAGGUCUUUGCACAGUAUUCGGAUCCCGUGAUUGAUCAAUCGAUCAUUUCUUCGAUUUCUGAUGUUUAGGUUUUUGAAUUCGUUGUGAUGACCUGAGAGUUUGAAUCUUUUGGGAUUUUUUAACGAUUUAUUGGUGUUUGUUUUUUGGGGUAGGAGGAGGUGGCGUGAUGAGGUGUCUCAGCUCUGUUAUUUUGUUUAUUUAUGGUGACAUAAGGGAAUUCUUUUUAUACUUUUCGUUGCUGAUUUUUGGUUUUGUUGGAGGAUUUGUUUAGUUUUUGAUGUUUUUGGAUGAUCGCAUGGCGACUCCUGGAAACAGUUCUGGCGAUUUUUGUUCGUUUUUAUUCUCAAGGAUUUUGUCGAUUAGGGUUUUGAGAUCUGCCACUCUCUUCCGGUUUGUAUGUGGUGCGUCUUCUCAUUUCGGCGAGUAAUAGGAAGCCCCCUAAUGCGGUUUAUGAAUUAUCUGUCUGAAGGUUGCAUUUUUCUUUAUAUUGCUAUAUAUUUAUUAACCGAUUCAUUUUCCCCCGCUGUUUUUGCUUUUGCUUUUCAUUUUAAGUCUGCGUCUAGCGUAUUUAGACUGGCAUUAUCAUCUUCUUAUAAUGAAAUCAGAAAAAAGUGGUAACUUUGUGUUCUAUUUGAUCUCCGGAAGCUGGAAUUAGUUGAUGGUCGAUCGUUCUCUGUUUCUUCGAUGACAUUUUAUAGAUCUUCUAUGAGUGUUAUAUAUUUCGGCGUGGGGGUUUUAACGCAUCAAAAAUUUGAUUUUGAAGUAUUAUUAUUUUGGACUUAUCAGUUGAUUGUAACUCUUCUGUAGGAGCUCAGUUGAUAUGGUUUCUGGGGGGCUGGGAAGCGGAAAUUUAGAAGCGUGGUUUCAGAACCUCAUGUUGUCUGCCGGUGGGGAAAAGUCAGGGGGGGAGGGAGCUGCUAUGGCUGGUUGGAAGGAUCUUCCCAUGGAGUUGUUGCUGAGGAUCAUUUCGCUUCUGGAUGAUCGGACGGUGAUUGUGGUUUCUGGUGUGUGUACUGGUUGGAGGGAUGCAUUGUGCUUUGGGCUUACAAAUCUCUCUCUCUCAUGGUAAAGGCUUAAUCUUUUCUUAGUCUUAGCCUUUUCCACUCUUUAUGCUUCUUUUUGUUUCCUUUUUUGGGCACUAGUUGUGUAACUUUCGGCCAUUCUUUUGCUACUUGGGCCCUGCUGGAUAUGGAAGCUCCGUUUUCAGGCAGAUGGUGCUCAAGCUGGGCCUUAUUGAAGACGGUAGCUUUGUUGAUAGGAAGAUGGCGCUCAACUAAUUCUCCUUUUUAAGUCAUAUACAGUUUUUACUAUGAGAUUAUGUGAUGAAGUCUAAAUCUGAGAGGAAGAAGUGUAGUUGUGGUUUCCUUCGAGGGGAAGUCAGUCCCAUGUGCAAGGUGUAAUAUUAAGUGUUUUGCUUGCUCCCUAUAUAUUCACCAUCUACAUUUAUUAUUGAUUUCGAAAUCUUAUAGUCAUAGCAAGAAUCUGUGAUGACACAAUAUUGGAUCACUUUACUCUAAAUGAAAGACAGCAAUUCCAUCGAUGAAUAAAAGAAUCCCCAUAAUUCUCUAAACUUUAUAAAACACUUGGUCCUUCUCUAGUAAGAAAGGAAAGAAAAGAUUCUAGCCCUUAUGUUCCCAUAUCUAGCCUUUCUUUCUGGCAUGUUAUCAUUGUGCGGAAGAUAUACAAUUCUUCCUUUUCUCAUUUUUCCCCUUGCUUUUUUUUUCUUGCAUUCUUCCUGUUCAAAAUGAUCCGACAUGAUAAAAUGACUGAAAGUGCUGGCUUAUUUUGUAGAUUAGAAGAGUAGUCAUCUGGAUAAAAUUCCUUCUUUGAAAUCCCCUUCCCCAACUGCAUGCAUGCAUGUCCAUUUGUUUGCUUAAAAGCAUUAAGCAUGGAUAGAAUGGAAUUUUUGACCUCAUUUAUGUUAUUUAGGAACCUCUCAAGGGGAACCAUGCUUACCAGUUCUGAAGCACAUUGCAGUAAGAAUACAAUUUUUUUUUCCUAAUAUACAAUAAUUGUUGUCAUAUAAAAUUUCUUAAGAGGCAAGCAGCAAAUACACGUGAUGCUGUUCUAGUAUCAAAAGUUCAUCCAUCCUUCUCUAUUUUUUCCUGCCAUACACCUUCACCCGCCUCAUCAAGUUACAUUACGUCAUUCUCAGGUCAACUUAGGGACACUUUGUACUUGGUAACAAUCUUUAUGUAAAUGGAAUUUGUAAAGAUAUCAAUCUAUCUUUAGAUUCUCUUUCAUGAAAUUUGUAAAGACAUCAACCUAUCUUUAGAUUCUGUUUGCCGCAAAGUUGGUUCUUCUACCAAUGUUGUUGCCUUCACUGUUGAACUUGUUAGCAUGUUUCAAGUUUGAUCUUUGACAAUUUGUACAAUUCCAAGGAUCAUAUUUUUAGUUCACAAGGAACUAUUGCUUGCAAAUAUUGGACCAAUUAUUAUCUCAUGUGUAAUUAUUGUUUUUUAAGAUUAGACGGUAUCUUUAUACUGCUUCAAACAGUCAUUUUAGAUUUUCUCUUUCUUUUAGAUGGCUGCCCUGUUUCUUUGGAUGCACAUCUAUCAGAUACCUCCAUUGUUUGAAGUUCUGCAUAAAGUUUGAAAACAAAAGCAUGCACUAAUUUCUAAUAAUAUUUAGCCAAGUUCUGCGUCAUAUCCACCUCAAUGCUAUGAUCUUUGCACAACUGCACUCAUUGUCUUCAUGUUGUUUGUAUUUAAUCUUGUUGAUGUGUGAUAAUCACAAGGUGGCUGUAGAAGCAUAUUGGCAUAGCCUGCAAUCAAGCUCAGUAUGUAAUUUUUUUAAAGAGUUAUUAUGUAUCUUGAUUACUUUUAUGUGAAGAAUACCUAAAAUUACAAUUUGUGGUUUCACUAUCGCAUUGGGAUUAUUCUGAUAGUAAUUUAUGAUGACGUGAAAAGACUAAUUUACCUUUCCUUCUGUUUUUACAUUUUUCUUAAUUCAAAUCAUUUUAUAAGUUGCAAAUAUGAGAUUCCUAAAUACUAGUUGCUCCACGGAUGAAUAUUGUCAGAAGCUGUUCUUCCUACAUUAUUCUUGAUUUUUCUGGAAGUUUCUUAUCACUGGGUUGUAUCUAUAAUGAAAAGAAAUUCUGCUGAAAAUGUUAAAAAAUCAUCUAUUGUUUUAUCCAUGCUCAGUUUUACUUUCAUAUUAUUCUUGUUGAUGAUAUCCCCAUGAUGUUUCCCAACAGCGAAAGUUGCCUAUCUGAUCAGUGAAUUUAAGAAGAAGAUACACACUUCCAGAGAACACAUGUUUUUGGCUAGGAGUGAUGCAAUGAUGACUAUAUUUUUAUGAAAUUUCUGCAGUAUGUACAUGCAUAUGUAUAGAGUAAUAAAAAGCCCCCAUACCCCACUCUCCACCCCUCUCUGUCCACAAUUAAAGGAAAAAAGAAAGAAGAUGAAAAAGAUAAAAAUACCAAAAUGGUUAUCUGGUAAUUGACAAUUAGUUCUUUGCACAGCUAUUAAUGCAGUCCCUGUAAUGUUUAUUUCUGGAGAAAUAGAUACAACAUGAAGUUAAAUUAAUUUUUCAGUAUGUAUGCAUAUGUUUUGCAAGUUCUCUCUUAAGAUUUUUUUUAAUGAAUAAUUCAGUUUCUUGUCUUAAAUUGUAAUACUUAUGCCCUGUAUGUACACUCCUCUGAUGAUGAUUAGUCAUUUGGGCGAAUGGGAUUGAGAUUCCACUACUUGCAGGUGCACAAACAACAUGAACAGUCUUGUGCAGUCACUAGCCGCCAAGUUUACAAAGCUGCAGGUUCUUACUCUGCGGCAGGAUAGACCUCAACUUGAGGAUAUUGCUGUAGAGGCUGUUGCUAAUUACUGCCAUGAUUUGCGGGAUUUAGACCUUAGCAAAAGCUUUAGACUGACUGACUGCUCCUUGUAUGCUUUAGCCCAUGGAUGUCCACGUCUUACCAAACUCAAUAUCAGUGGGUGCUCUGCUUUCAGUGAUUCUGCCCUUGCAUAUCUGACUAGUUACUGUAGGAACUUGAAAAACUUAAAUCUUUGCGGAUGUGUGAGAGCUGCAACUGAUAGAGCUUUACAGGUAUUGAAGUCAAAUUGUUUUUUUUUGGGUUUUUUUGCCCUGGAUCAAUUCUUGCCUAAUCUUCUGUAAAAUUGGAUGCAGGCUAUUGCGUAUAAUUGCAUUCAGUUGCAGACUUUGAAUUUGGGUUGGUGUGAGGAUAUCAGUGAUAAUGGAGUGACCAGUUUGGCAGCAGGAUGCCCUGAUCUCAGGGCCUUGGACUUAUGUGGCUGUGUCCUUAUUACAGGUAUUCAGAUGCCAGAUGCAUGUAUUGUUUUGAACUCAAUAAAUAUUGAUAAGGCUUUAUUAACUGGAAAUAAUAAUUAUUCUAGAUUUAGAGCAUCCUAACUUCUGUAACUUCAGUAAGCAGUCUGCAACAGUUUUCUACUUUCCUAUGUUGCAUCGUUCAUUGUAGUACUCUGCAGAUUUCUUGUUUCUGUUACAAUGUUGUUCACUAUUUUACCCUCUUUUAUUUCCCUAUGUUUUCCUGUGCUAUUCGCUUUUAUGAGUAGUAGUAAAAAUUCAAUAUUACAGUGGCCUAGCUAAAUUUAUUUAUUAUAAAUAAUUUUAUAGUGAAUAUUUUUGGUAUAUCUGGUCUACUUCAUGGUUCAGACAAAUAAGUGCUCAACAAUUGUGACAGGACCAAAGCAUGUGAGAUUGGAAUUUCUUCUGAACAUUUCGAGUAGUUACUACUUUCCUGAGCUGUGUUUUACUUCUAAUAGCCAUGAGCCUCCUUCAGUGCUAUUAUAUCUUUCACUGCAUUGCCCCUCAGUAUAUUUACUUUUCUGUUUACAUGCAUUGACAUGUUUUUUCUUUUGGUACAAGUGGAAUUGGUACAAGUUCUAUUUCAAGGUGGUCUAAAUAGAAAAUUUGUUAUGGGGAAUUUAAUAAGCAAUCACAUUGUAAAUUUUGCAUGAUAGAAUGGUUGUUGACAUGCUAGAAUUCUACACUGAUGGUAUUGAAAAAUAGUAAAUGCUUAAUAAUUGCUGUGGAACCUAGAGACAUGCCACCGGAAUUUCUUGUGACCUCAUGGAACUUGGAAGAUUCAGAGAGUUUUUGCAUUGGCUUUAAGGUUGUGUGUCUGUGCAUGCUUGUGCACGUCUUCGUGGCCUGUAGUUUACUAGUGGUUGGUUUAUUUGUAGUGAAUUGUAGCUCCUAUGUGUAAGCCAAGUAUUGGCAGUGAAUAGCCAAUAGCAAGGUGUAAAUAUUAUGAUGGUUUUGGGUUAGGCUGAAACGGACUAUUGUUUUCCAUGCUAGACUGCCAAUCACUGAUGAGUGUCAAUACCAUGAUGUUUUCAACCUUGUCUAUGGUUAUUGUAAGGACAUACUUGAAUGCAGAUGUAAAAUAGCUAUAGAAGUCCUUUUUGCUCUUGAUUUCUUGUAGUUUCAUGAAUAUUAGUGCUGUAACUUUAUGAUGGUUUUAAGACAGUUCAGUAUCCAUAAAAUAAUGAGCUAGACAUUGAUUAGUUCUUUUUCCCCCAUUUAAACUUGACUUCGAUCUUAUUGGAAAUCUGUAAAUCUAUAAAGGCCUAGUUCGAUUAUAAGGCAAAAGUUAGAGAACUCCAGAGUCAUUGCCAUGUUCUUUUGAAAUGGUUUGGGCAUCUAUAAGGUAAGGCUCAUUGAAGAGCCAAAAUUUGUUUCUUGAUCAUUGAUUUCCUAGUAAAACAACAUCCUUGUAGUAGAUUUAUGCUCCUCUUUUGUCAAGUAUUUUACUUUUAUUUGUUGUUACUCCUUUCUACUUUAGUUUUCUCCUCUUCUUUGCUUCGGUAUAUACAGAAGCAGCAGCAGAAUGUCGUGAUCUCAAUCUGCUGCAAAUUCUUGAAUACAAAAAAUAUCACAGUAGUAAGCUCUUUCAUGUUACUCUCUUCUAUUGUUAUUUCUCUUGUAUUCAGAUCACUAUUACAGAACUUGAACAUCUGUUAUCAUAGUUUUAUCUUUCUUUAUCGCUUCUCCUUCAUUACUCGGGUUCUUCUAGUCAUUCUUUUUUCUUAUUUCUAAUACCGACCAGCUACCAUGGUCAAAGAAACCACAAUGAGAAGUUUUACCGUUACUUCAUAGCUGCCUGCUCAUUUUUCCUUCUAUAUCUAGAUUCUCACCCAGUUACCACCUUCCCAGAAAUUUCAAUUUUUUUCAGAUAUUAGGCGACAAGAUUGAGUUGCACAUAUAAAAUUGUCAAUCAUGUUCAUGAAUAAUAUCAGCCAUUGGAAUAGCAUUAAAGAUCUUUUGCUCUAAUGCCAUAUUGAUGUAAAAAGAGUAAAGGACUUCACAUAAUAGUACAUGGCAUGUCCAAUAACACAAAAUCUGUGUACAUUUUGAUGUAGUCACAUAACGCCAUAUAAGUUUGUAGGAAAUCUUAUUUUGACUAGAAAUAUGUGUAGAUGUAGGUAUAAAAGAGACAAAUGCUUGAAACUUCGAAGCAAUAUUUUUGUUCUUCGCAGCUACCUCUAAACUUUUCAAACCCUACCUUGCUUAUAUAAGAGAGAGAGAGAGAGAGAGAGAGAGAGAGAGAGAGAGAGAGAGAGAGNNNNNNNNNNNNNNNNNNNNAGAGAGAGAGAGAGAGAGAAGUAAAUUCUUCCCAUCCGCUUGUUGAUUUUUCUGUUACCAAGUUGUGUGAGUGGUAUAAGAAAAUAGAACUUCACGUAAAGAUGCUUGUGGAAACACUAGUCGUUAGGGCUGUUGAAUGAGCAAGCUGUUGAUGAGUAGCUCAUGUUCAGCUGAAAUUUGAGCUUGCAAUGAGUUCACUCGAUUAUUGAAUGAGCAAAACAUGAGCCAGCUAUUUCAGCUUGAAACAUAACGAACCAGGCAUGAGAUAUAGCUCAAAAUAAGUAAAUAAAAUUUAUUAUAAGAAAUAAAAUUUAUUAUAAGUAUACAGUGCCAAUUUGUUCUUUAUCUAUGAAACUGUUCCUUUAAUCUUAUAAUUAUUUUUGAUUAAAGAUUUGGUGGCCACCUCUCUGAAUUCUCCCUUAAAUCGAUGACAACAGCUGAACGUAGUUGAGGGAAAAGAGUUAAAUCAUCUUGUUCCCAGCCUUUAGAUAAGCGGCUGAAAUGAGGCUUGGGCUUUGAGGUAAUUAAAGCAGACCGACCUGCCAUGAUUUCUAAGCGAGUGGGCCCCUUCUUGACUAUGACAAUUUCUUUGUAUGGCCAAACGGCCACCCUCCUCCACCACACCCCUGCUGGCCACUCAACCUUUGCUGUGGGGCUCAACCCUUUGGCCCAUUCCUUUUUCAAGCCUGACCAAGCUAAGCUCAAGCUUGCUCUAUAUCUACCUAGCCAAGCUCGAGCUAGGCACAAGCUAUUUGAACCAAGCUGAGGUAGGUCCGGUGGUGUGGACACCAGUGCCAGAUCAGCCGGUCGCCACAGGAUCCAGCCAGCUUAGCAGGUCCCAGCCGAUUCAGCCAGCUUGAUUUUAUUCUAGAUUGAUUUAUUUUAGUUGGAUUUAUUUUAUGUUGAUUGGGCUUAUUUGCAUAUUGUCAUUUGAGUUUAUUUGCAUAUCGUCAUUUUAGGGCCUUUUUGGGAUUGUUUUAUUUGUAGGGGUCUAUUUGUUAUUUUAUGACUCUAUAUAUAUAUGGGUCCACCUUCAUGUUUAGGAUUUUGAUGAAUGAUGAAUGAAAAUUAGCCCUCUUUCUUUCAGAAGCUCUGGUGUGAAGCCAUGACGAGAACUAGGUGAAAGGCUUGGUUCUUCUUCCUCCCCCUCCUCUUCUCCUCCUCUUCUUCUUCCCCCUCCUCUUCUUUCCUUUUCCCUCUCCUUCCUGCAGUUAUCCUGUAUCAGCUUUGGUAUUAGAGCAUCCGGUUUUGCCUCUGUUGCCAAAAUCCUCUUCUUUUCUAGGCUGUUGUGGGUCAGGCUACAGAAAAACUCUUCCGUUGCCUCCUUGCUCUCUCUCGGAUCUCACACCAGAAAAAGGGGGAACAACCCCUUCGUUGGUUGGCCCUUCCCCGUCGCCGCGCCCACACCCACCGCCGCCACCAUCCCUCAACCCCGCCACACCGCCUGCGCCUGCCGUCUCUUUGCCGUGCCGCCGCCCUCUCUUCCAGUUGGAAAGUGCCCCCCCGUCUUCCUGUCUAAGUGAAAAAAAAAACCGAGUGACCCGAUGCUGCACCGCCAUCCUGUGCUGCUGCCACUGUCACCCGAAACCGAUGAGAAGCACCGCUCCACAUCCGGGCGCCCCUUGACCGUGGCUGUUUCAUCGCCGUCCGAGACCCACGUCCGGCUGUUACCACGCUCUGCGAUCCAAGGAAACAGGUAGCAACUUCUCCUCAACGCCCCACGAAGGAGCCGGAUCAGAGGCGGGCUACCGGAGCGGAUUCCCAGCUAACCCGAAUUCGGUCGGGUUUAAACAAAAAAAAGAGCAGGUGACUGCACGUGCUUGUUGAAAAAAAAGGAAAAAAAAGAAAAAGAAAAAAGACAAAAAAUACCUGGUUCCUUUUCUACUUUCCGUGGCCUCCUCUUCGCCGUCUCUCAUCGCCCUUGAAGCACCGCGCCACCCUAGCCGCCGCUGCUGUCGCCCCCUCCGGCCUUGCCGCCCUCGCCGCCGCCGCCACCCGCCGCCACUUCCUCUGCCCUUGCUGCCGCCCGAGCCCCCACCAUCCUUCGUCUCCUCUGCUGCCACCGCACCAUCUCCACCGCCGCUGAGCUCCACCGUAGCGCCGCCCUGCCCGUCCGCCAUCUUCCCUCCCCUCGCAGGCCCCUCCUCGCCUUCCAUCGCACCCCACCGUUCCUCUACCCUCUCGGAUCACCCCCGCCCAAAAACAGAAACCCACUUCACCACAGCUCACCCUUCCCUCUCACGGGCUGAUCCUUUCAUCCGGCGGUUUUUUUUUUCAUUUAUUUUUCCAUUCCAUCCUGCUCGUUUCACAGGCCCAAGUCCACGCGCCUCGCCCCCACACAGGCCCGAUCCACCACCUCUCCACCCCUUCUUCACAUCAAAGGCCCAACAUACCCCUCUAUCAGGCAUCAGGUCCAGCAGGCCUUUUUGCAACGGCCCACAACAUCUCUUUUGUUCACAGGCCAAUCAGACCACACCAGUUGCUGUGAUUCGACCAGAUUCGCGCCAUCUGACGAGUCGACUUACCGUACUUUGAUUGUCGCCCCAGUUUAGGUCAGGCUUCUUUCCUUACUGCAAAUUUUAUUUGUUUGUCUAAAUUUAGAAUUAAUUAACUCCUAUGUGUUCUAUUGAUAUUUUUUCCUGAAAAUUCAACACAUCCACUCCAAACAACACCAAAACCGUAGUAGUGGCCUAUCUUUGCUAUUAAUUGUAAGGUACCUAAUUUUUGGGAGUUCUUCGAGGCUAUGUGCAGCCUUGCAACACUGAAAACUAGUACUAUUUGACUGCAACUACUUAUCUGGAUUUAUUACAAAACCAAUUUCAAUUGCUAGAGUUAGCUUCUGAUUAUAUUGAGCAUAUACUUUGCAAUUUCAAAUUACUUUCAUGCAUUAAAUCUACUUAGAAAUCUCUAUAGUUGGUAGGAUCAUAUAUAUCUUCAUUCAUUUUAUGCAUCUACGUAGUGGUCGUGUCGCAUCUCAUUCUGAGUCCUAACUAGACAUGGAUUCCAAAAUCGAAGCUCUAUUAAAAGCUAUCCAAGACACUAAUGCCUAAGUCCAAGCCAAUAAUGCCCAUAUUCAUGACCUAACCACAAUGUCCAUCCAGGUUAAUGCCCGACUUGAUUCAAUUGAGGCUUCACUUCAGAGGGUUAUUGAAUCCAAGGAAGCUAGUGCCUCCCAUUUACUGGGUCUUGAAGGGGAUGAAACCCUAGAACAAAUUCUAGAACAAGACUCUGUUCGGCAGGAUAACUUUGGUAAUAGGUCUGUUUCAGAUCAUCAUCAUGCCUACCCUCGCCCUAGAGGACCCGGUCCCUUCCCUAAUAUUGAUAAAGGUUACCGACAUAACGUGGAGCCCAGAAAACCUCAUGACCCUGAUGAAGAUGUAAUGAGAGGCAUUAGGGUUGAAGCCCCCACUUUUGAGGGUCGUCUUGACCUAAAAGUCUUCUCAGACUGGUUACACGAAAUGGACCACUUCUUUGAGUGGUACAAUUUGUCUGACAACAAGAAGGUAUGGUUUGCCAGAAUGAAGCUCAUUGGUCAAGCUAAGCUUUCCUGAAAAAACACGGAACAACUGUUAGCUAGAAGAUAUCAGUAUGUAAUAACUGAUUGGGUAGAGAUGAAAGAGAGACUUAAAGAAAAAUACCUACUUCAUAACUAUCAGGACGAUCUCCUUAACCGAUGGAACACUAAGCUCACAUUUGUAAGGCGCCCUGACACACGGAGCACUUCCAUGGGCCCUAAUUUCUUAGGGCCUAAAUCUUCUGUAGGGUCCACUACUCCUAGGCCCCUUCCUACUGCCUAUGUCCCAAGCCGAGACACUAACGACAAGGGAAUGCUUGGUGAGCCUCCCAUACCACAUUCCAAAAUUCGGUGUUACAAAUGCCAAGGUUUUGGUCAUGUUGCCUCCUAAUGUGCUAACAAAUCUUUCGUUAUUGCUCAGCAAGAGCAGUUUGGUGACACAGAUGACUUAGAGGAGCAAAUCUAUGAACCAAACUUCGAUGACAUUCGGGAUAUUGAGGAAGAGUGUAAUGACAACCCUGAAACCCUAGGAUGCACCCACACUACACCUAGCUCGCUUGCACAGUCAGAUAGCAAGUCUGACCAAUUCACCAUGAGUGUAGUUAGAUAUGCCCUCGCACAACCUAUCGAAACUGAUGUUAGGAUUUCUGAGCCUGCAUAUGCAUUUACACAACACAUUCAUAAGUUGCAUCAGGAAAUCCAUAAGGGCAUUCAUAUAUGUACUGCUCAAUAUAAGAUGCAAGCUGAUUUUCAUGCUAAAGAAUUUCAAACUUAGGGUUACGUAAUGAUCCGUCUUAAGGAAUUGCAGUCUCUUAGUAUUGGACCAUUCAGCGUGUUACACAAGGAUGGCACUGACGCCUAUGCCAUUGACUUUCUAUUUGAUUUUAGUCAUAGCCUUACUUUUAAUAUUGAAGAUUUGGUUGCAAUCUCUGUUGACUCUUUUGCUGCCCACUCUCCUGCGCCCGAUGUUUAUCCUAUUAAUGAUUCCAUGCCAUCUUCGUUUUCUUUUCUCCUCCAUCGAGCACAAAAAGAGUAUAUUGAUUCUAUUUUAGCCGAGCAAAUAGUUUUUGGCAGUGAUGGAGGCAUCCAGCGUUUUCUGGUUCGUUGGCGUGGACGACCAAAGUCCGGUUACACUUGGAUCCAGCACGAGGAGAUGCCGUCGAUUGAUCCGGACUUGUUGGAGUAUUACCGGGGCUUUACCGAGCCGCUUUCGUCGAGAUCAACUUCUUUCCACCCGGGGAGAGUUGCUGCGGACACCAGUGCCAGGUUAGCUGGUCGCCACAGGAUCCAGCCAGCUCAGCGGGUCUCAGCCGAUUCAGCCAGCCUGAUUUGAUUUUAGAUUAAUUUAUUUUAGUUGGAUUUAUUUUAUGUUGAUUGGGUUUAUUUGCAUAUUGUCAUUUGGGUUUAUUUGCAUAUUAUCAUUUUAGGGCCUUUUCGGGAUUGUUUUAUUUGUAGGGGUCUAUUUGUUAUUUUGUGACCCUACAUAUAUAGAUCCACCUUCAUGUUUAGGAUUUUGAUGAAUGAUGAAUGAAAAUUAGCCGUCUUUCUUUUUGAAGCCCUGAUGUGAAGCCAUGGUGAAAACCAGGUGAGAAGUCUCGUUCUUCUUCCUCCCCCUCCUCUUCUCCUCCUCUUCUUCUUCCCC